rnacentral:rRNA from 1 species
GUGCCAGCCGCCGCGGUAAUACGUAGGCAGCAAGCGUUGUUCGGAAUUACUGGGCGUAAAGAGUGCGUAGGUGGUUGGCCAAGUUUGGUGUGAAAUCUCCCGGCUUAACUGGGAGGGUGCGCCGAAAACUGGCCGGCUAGAGUGUGGGAGAGGGAAGCGGAAUUCCAGGUGUAGCGGUGAAAUGCGUAGAUAUCUGGAGGAACGCCUGCGGUGUAGACGGCUUCCUGGACCAUGACUGACACUGAGGCACGAAAGCGUGGGUAGCAAACAGGAUUAGAAACCCUGGUAGUCC